CUUCCUGCAGGGCCGGCGCCGUUCCCCUCACUCACCCCACGCCUGGGCUCCUUCUCCCGUCACACCACCGUGGAGCCGCGGCGGUGGCCCCCCCCCGGCAGCGGGGAGAAGCCGGGGGGUGGCUGCGGGGCCGCAGUGCGGGCUGGCGGUGAGCGGGCACGGCUGCAGUGCCUCCUCCGAGCCAGGCUGGGGGGAGGAGGGCGAGAUGCUGCGCUGGGAGACCACCGCGGCGAGGGGGUAGCUCUAUAAUUAAACAGCUAAUGAACGAAUGGCGGGGUUGGGGAAGUGCUGUCUGCUGCCACGGAGGGCUGAGGUGGAGGGGGGGAGCGGCGGAGACAAAAGCCCUGCUGCUUUGUCACGGCUGGCUGCCCCCUUCGGCCUCGCUCCCCGGAGCACACAGCCCCAAGCUGCGUCCUUCCCCCCCCAAAAAAUAGCCUCGAGUGUCCCCGACGCGGUGACAGACACCUGAUGACUUCAUAUCACAGCAGCACAGAGGUGGCACAGCUCACCCCAUGCCGCUCUGCGAGGUGGCAAAGCCACCUGAACCCCACCAGCCCCCCAGGAGUGAGGCCAGCCUGGGGCUGGGCUGGAGGGAAACCAGCCACAUCCUCCCACCAUCGCAUCUCCCAGGCCUGCUCCAGGCUGGGCGAACACAAAGUGCUUGUCUCCUGUCCCUACUCCUGCCCCACAGCAUCCUUCAUACCCCACACUGCCCCGCUGCUCCCUAGACCCCACUGCCGUGCAAGCAGGGGAGAAAUCGAGAGGUUUCACCAUAUUUCUCUCUUGUACCAACCACACUGCACUGUAUCCCCAAGGAGAGCCGUGGUUAAGAGAAGCUAAGAGCCCAGCCUGCCCCAGCAGCAGCCAAGAGGGAUGCUUACAAUUAUAACGACAAUAAAGAUUUCCGUGUGCUUCUCGAAAACA